GCUACUUGUGGAGAUCCCACCAUUGACAUGCAUGUCCCCAGUUAAGAUGACCCAGAUAAAUGCUCUGACCUGGUUACCACCUCGUGGCAAGCCCUUGGAUGCUGGUCAUCUUCAGUCACUUCUUUGGGACUACUGUAUAAAUGUCACCACCUUUGUCCUCAAUGCUGGCAGUUUUGUAAAGAAGCCAAGAUUGGAGGCUUUCUAUGCCUGGGGUGAGGCAAAUUGAUUAAUAACUGUGGGAGGAGGGUGGAGGGUGCAUAAGCCAUCUGUCAUUGCUAACCGCCUCCUGUGGACAAUAGGACCAUGAUUUCCAAGUGUCCUUCACUAACUUAAGCUGGGGGGGGAAAAAAACUAUAAAGGCUACAGAUAUAAAUCUGAAUGGCAUAUUGUACAUGUAGAAAUUUGUGGUGUUCACUUUUUAUCAGAACUAAAUCCGGAUUCUGGGGCUGGAGGACAGAUAAAGCAGAAGUUGUUAAUGGUUACGAAGCAAAGGUUUACACAGUAAACAAUGUGAAUGUGAUCACCAAAAUACGCACAGAACAUCUGACCGAGGAGGAAAAAAAGAGGUAUAAAGCGGACAGGAACCCGCUGGAAUCUUUGCUGGGAACUGUGGAACACCAAUUUGGUGCACAAGGGGACCUCACCACGGAAUGUGCUACUGCAAACAACCCCACAGCCAUCACGCCUGAUGAGUACUUCAAUGAAGAGUUUGAUCUGAAAGACAGGGACAUUGGAAGGCCGAAAGAGCUGACGAUUAGAACACAGAAGUUUAAAGCAAUGUUGUGGAUGUGUGAAGAGUUUCCCCUCUCUCUGGUGGAGCAGGUCAUUCCCAUCAUUGACCUAAUGGCUCGAACGAGUGCUCAUUUUGCAAGACUGAGAGAUUUCAUCAAAUUG
rnacentral:sRNA from 1 species